rnacentral:rRNA from 1 species
AGUGAACGCUGGCGGCAGGCCUAAUACAUGCAAGUCGAACGGCAGCACAGCAGAGCUUGCUCUGUGGGUGGCGAGUGGCGGACGGGUGAGGAAUAUAUGGGAAUCUGCCCAGUCGUGGGGGAUAACGUAGGGAAACUUACGCUAAUACCGCAUGCGCCCUUCGGGGGAAAGCCGGGGACCUUCGGGCCUGGCGCGAUUGGAUGAGCCCAUGUCGGAUUAGCUAGUUGGCGGGGUAAAGGCCCACCAAGGCGACGAUCCGUAGCUGGUCUGAGAGGAUGAUCAGCCACACUGGAACGGAGACACGGUCCAGACUCCUACGGGAGGCAGCAGUAGGGAAUAUUGGACAAUGGGCGCAAGCCUGAUCCAGCCAUGCCGCGUGAGUGAAGAAGGCCCUCGGGUUGUAAAGCUCUUUUGUCCGGAAAGAAAAGCAUCCAGUUAAUACCUGGGUGUCCUGACGGUACCGGAAGAAUAAGCACCGGCUAACUUCGUGCCAGCCGCCGCCGUAAAAC